AGCCUGUAGUGUGUUUUCGGCUGCUAUAUUACGCGCAAAAACUGCGACUCCUCCCUUUCUCCUUGCUUGAACAUGGCUGGUGGGGGGUCCCAAAACAGAAGUCCAAAUGCUGUUGAUGAUAUGGCUUUAUGGGUACACUCAACAUCUGCAGGUGUACAACUGGUGCUGCAGUUCUGUAAAAGAUGCCAAAGAUCUCUACAAUCCAGCUCUUCGCCAACCUAAGGCUGACACUAAUCUACCAGCUGCAGCUACCAUAUAGUUGCCUACUGUUAUACUUAAGACAUGGGCUGUGAACUGGAAACCCUACAGGGAAGACAGUCUUGAUGUUUCUCAUUGCAGGUGUACUAACGGAUUGACAGACUAAAAUUGUGGUGCCAGACUACAUGUAGCUUUGCUGAUGAAGUGGUGGUCGUGGGGCUACUGGCAAGGUCCUAAACAUCUGCUGCAGUCUGACUUCUGAAGGGACUAAUCAUUAUAGUAAAGCUUGUGUUCAGAAUCUGCACAACUCUGCAAAAUUGUUAACUUGCUGGUCAAAAGUUCUGGGGCAAAGCAU